rnacentral:tRNA from 3 species
CAGGGGGUAGUUUAAUGUAGUAAUUUCGGCUUUGGGAGUCGAAGGUGGAGCGGAAUGCUUCUUCCCUGA